GGGGCUUGUCGUUUGAUUGGGUGUUGCGUUCCUUCUUCAUCUUUGCAUACUUCCUCGCCCACAACCCUUUCAUAACCUCUUGGGAACUUACGA